rnacentral:rRNA from 1 species
UACGGAGGGUGCAAGCGUUAUCCGGAUUCACUGGGUUUAAAGGGUGCGUAGGUGGAGCGUUAAGUCUGUGGUGAAAUCUCCAAGCUUAACUUGGAAACUGCCGUUGAUACUAUCAUUCUUGAAUAUCGUGGAGGUAAGCGGAAUAUGUCAUGUAGCGGUGAAAUGCUUAGAUAUGACAUAGAACACCGAUUGCGAAGGCAGCUUGCUACACGAUCAUUGACACUGAGGCACGAAAGCGUGGGGAUCAAACAGG